CCUACGGGGAGCAGCAGUGGGGAAUAUUGCGCAAUGGGCGAAAGCCUGACGCAGCGACGCCGCGUGAGGGAUGAAGGUCUUCGGAUCGUAAACCUCUGUCAGCAGGGAAGAACGGUCACUGUGCUAAUCAGCAGUGAAUUGACGGUACCUGCAAAGGAAGCACCGGCUAACUACGUGACAGCAGCCGCGGCAAUACGUAGGAGGCAAGCGUUAUCCGGAAUGACUGGGCGUAAAGGGUGCGUAGGUGGUUUGACAAGUUGGUAGCGUAACUCGGAGGCUUAACCUCGGCACUACUACCAAAACUGUUGGACUGGAGGGCAGGAGGGGAAAAUGGAAUGCGUAGUGUAGCGGUGGAAUGCGUAGAUAUUAGGAGGAACUCCAGUGGCGAAGGCGAUUUGCUGGACUGUAACUGACACUGAGGCACGAAAGCGUGGGGAGCAAACAGGAUUAGAUACCCGUGUAGUC
rnacentral:rRNA from 1 species